CAGUAGCCACGGUAAUACGGAGGGUGCAAGCGUUGUCCGGAUUUAUUGGGUUUAAAGGGUGCGUAGGCGGCCUAAUAAGUCAGUGGUGAGAGCCUCCAGCUUAACUGGAGAACUGCCAUUGAUACUGUUAGGCUUGAGUAUACUUGAGGUAGGCGGAAUUGACAGUGUAGCGGUGAAAUGCAUAGAUAUUGUCAAGAACACCAAUUGCAAAGGCAGCUUACUAAAUUAUAACUGACGCUGAGGCACGAAAGUGUGGGUAUCAAACAGGAUUAGAUACCCCAGUAGUCCCUGUCUCUUAUAA
rnacentral:rRNA from 1 species